rnacentral:rRNA from 1 species
UACGGUUGCAAAGCUGAAACUUAAAGGAAUUGACGGAAGGGCACCACCAGGAGUGGAGCCUGUGGCUUAAUUUGACUCAACACGGGAAACCUCACCCGGUCCGGACACUGGAAGGAUUGACAGACUAAAGCUCUUUCUUGAUUCAGUGGGUGGUGGUGCAUGGCCGUUCUUAGUUGGUGGAGUGAUUUGUCUGGUUAAUUCCGAUAACGAACGAGACUCUCGCCUGCUAAAUAGUUUUCCAUACGUUACUUUAUGGAACCUAAAACUUCUUAGAGGUACAAGUGGCGUUUAGCCACACKAAACAGAGCAAUAACAGGUCUGUGAUGCCCUUAGAUGUCCGGGGCCGCACAUGUGCUACAAUGAAUGCAUCAACGUGUAUCAGCCUCGCCCGAAAGGGUUGGGGAAUCCGCUGAACGGCAUUCNNNNNNNNNNUACGAUAGGUGGAUGUCCGCGAGGGUUGCUUCUCGGUAGAAAGAUACAUACAAAAAGUAAAAGAGAAGCCGCCGAGUGGCGAGUUGUUGAAAGUAGCCCAGCGAAACAACGGAACAAACCCUCGGAAUAAGAAAGAAAAAGACGUGCUGUACGAAAAAGUGCAACG